rnacentral:rRNA from 1 species
AUGGAUUUAGAAUUUAUAAAGGAGCUAUUGCUUUCUCCUAGACCAAGUGAGGAAUACUUGGCUGGUGUUGCUGGUUUUCUUGACUUUGCGUACAUCGGGAAAAUUUCUGAUGCCAAGAUCCGUUGCCCAUGCGUCAUAUGUGUCAAUGGAUCGUUACAGAAGCGGGAGGACAUGUACGAUCACUUGGUUUGUAGCGGAUUUUCACCUGGAUAUACUGUUUGGGGUUGCCAUGGGGAAACAACAUCAUUCAUCUCUCCUAGCAAACAAGGUGAAACUCCAACACACAUGAGAAGUAACAGAAGGUCACGAUCACAGUUUGAAGGAACAAAAUCUAAUAUGCGUCAGUUAGUGGAAGAUGUUUUCUGUGGAUCUCCAAUGAUAGAACCUGAGCCCAAAAUACGUCUAAACCAGGACCAGACCCUGAUUCACAAGCUUUCUAUGACCUUUUGA